rnacentral:rRNA from 1 species
GACGAACGCUGGCGGCGUGCCUAAUACAUGCAAGUCGAACGCAGUGGGGACGGGUGAGUAACACGUGGGUAACCUCCCAUCAGAGGGGAUAACACUUGGAUACAGGUGCUAAACCGAUAGUGAUGGAUGGACCCGCGGUGCAUUAGCUAGUUGGAGAGGUAACGGCUCACAAGGGCCACGAUGCAUAGCCGAACUGAGAGGGUGAUCGGCCAAACGGGGACUGAGACACGGCCCAUACUCCUACGGGAGGCAGCCGUAGGGAAUCUUCGGCAAUGGACGAAAGUCUGACCGAGCAACGCCGCGGGAGUGAAGAAGGUUUUCGGAUCGUAAAACUCUUUUGUUAGAGAAGAGGGAUCUAACAAGAAAGCCACGGCUAACUACGUGCCAGCCGCCGCGGUAAUUC